CACGUAGGGACCAAGCGUUGUCCGGAUUUAUUGGGCGUAAAGCGCUCGUAGGCGGCUUGGUAAGUCGGGUGUGAAACCUCCAGGCUCAACCUGGUGACGCCACCCGAUACUGCUAUGGCUUGAGUUCGGUAGGGGAGCGGGGAAUUCCUGGUGUAGCGGUGAAAUGCGCAGAUAUCAGGAGGAACACCGGUGGCGAAGGCGCCGCUCUGGGCCGAAACUGACGCUGAGGAGCGAAAGCGUGGGGAGCGAACAGGAUUAGAUACCCUCGUAGUCC
rnacentral:rRNA from 1 species